CGGCUCCCCUGUUCCAUCUACUGCUGCCCUCUGGACACUAUGAUCACUUGGCUACAUAGCUGAUGCCUGCUGGACUGUCCAUUAAUCACGUUGUUGCCUAAUGCCUGUAGAUACCACCAGCAGCACCAAUGGGUCAAACUAAGACGUGUUCGUGUCACGUGGAUUUGCGGUCCUCGCGGAUGGAGACACUAGUGUCCCAGUGACACGGAUAACACGGGCAGUGAGAUGACACCAUAUGCGUGUCACUGGGGAUCAAGGGACAAUAUAACACCAGCACUGCCAAGAGGAAUGGAAAAGGAAAAGGGACAUCCAGCUGAAGUUACCAAACGGUUAGUCAUUGUCAGUGACAUUAUUUGCAAAGUGGAGCAAGAGACCAACUGUGUCAUAUGUUAUGAUAAGGUUGAGAUAGGUAUUACACAGUUGGACUAGAUUAUCAAAACCUUCUGAUACACACAAUGUGAAAAUGUGUCUCAAUGGAGACAUGAUACACAUCAGAUUUAAUCGGUAUGGUGGGCAAAGAAAAAACCUGCAGAUAAGAUAUUACAUUCUCUCAGUAUCUCAAUAUCUCAGUAGUUUGGUAUUAUGAAACAAAUGUUCUUUGCCUAAAAUAACUAGGAUGGAUAGAGGGCCAUUGGCGUGUCAUCUUCUGUGACUAAUACAGCAAAACAGCACUCUUCAGAAGUCUCGUUGGCAAAGACACAACAUACUGCAUGGACACAUACUAGUGGACGAAAACAACCUAACAUCAAUACAUAAAAUGCCUUCUAAACCCAUUGUAUGUAGAAUUGGAAUAGAAAUUAGCUCUUUGAAGCCAUAUAACAAUCCAUAUAAUUUACUCAGGACUUUCUACUCGUCUGCCAUACAAAGUAAAUGCCGGUUGCCUAUAAAAUGCUGAUGGAAUUUGAGAGGGAGAGGAAAGCCUGGCUGGAUUUGUUCAGCUCCUCUCUCUGUGGGUGU
rnacentral:lncRNA from 13 species